rnacentral:rRNA from 1 species
CGGUGGAGUAUGUGGUUUAAUUCGAUGCAACGCGAAGAACUUACCUGGUCUUGACAUCCCGGAGACCCUUAGGAACUAGGGGUGCUUCCAUCUGGAAGAAUCUGGAGACAGGUGCUGCAUGGCUGUCGUCAGCUCGUGUCGUGAGAUGUUGGGUUAAGUCCCGCAACGAGCGCAACCCUUGCCUUUAGUUGCCAGCAGUUCGGCUAGGCACUCUAAAGGGACUGCCGGUGUUAAACCGGAGGAAGGUGGGGAUGACGUCAAGUCCUCAUGGCCUUUAUGACCAGGGCUACACACGUACUACAAUGGCCGAUACAAAGGGCAGCGACACUGCGAGGUGAAGCCAAUCCCGUAAAAUCGGUCUCAGUCCGGAUUGGAGUCUGCAACUCGACUCCAUGAAGUUGGAAUCGCUAGUAAUCGUGGAUCAGCAUGCCACGGUGAAUACGUUCCCGGGCCUU